rnacentral:rRNA from 1 species
GACGUAGGGCGCGAGCGUUGUCCGGAUUUAUUGGGCGUAAAGAGCUCGUAGGCGGCUUGUUGCGUCGACCGUGAAAACCCGGGGCUCAACUUCGGGCUUGCGGUCGAUACGGGCGGGCUAGAGUUCGGUAGGGGAGACUGGAAUUCCUGGUGUAGCGGUGAAAUGCGCAGAUAUCAGGAGGAACACCGGUGGCGAAGGCGGGUCUCUGGGCCGAUACUGACGCUGAGGAGCGAAAGCGUGGGGGAGCGAACAGG